rnacentral:misc_RNA from 1 species
GAUGAAGAACGUAGCGAAAUGCGAUAAGUAAUGUGAAUUGCAGAAUUCAGUGAAUCAUCGAGUCUUUGAACGCACAUUGCGCCCCCUGGUAUUCCGGGGGGCAUGCCUGUCCGAGCGUCAUUGCUGCCCUCAAGCACGGCUUGUGUGUUGGGCCUCCGUCCUCCUCCCGGGGGACGGGCCCGAAAGGCAGCGGCGGCACCGCGUCCGGUCCUCGAGCGUAUGGGGCUUCGUCACCCGCUCUUGUAGGCCCGGCCGGCGCUUGCCGACACAUCAAUCUUUUUUCCAGGUUGACCUCGGAUCAGGUAGGGAUACCCGCAGAACUUAAGCAUAUCAAUAAGCGGAGGA